GGUAGCGUGGCCGAGCGGGUUAAGGCGCUGGUUUAAGGCACCAGUCUCGAGGCGUGGGUUCGAACCAACCGCUGCAU